GGAAUAUUGCACAAUGGGGGAAACCCUGAUGCAGCCAUGCCGCGUGUGUGAAGAAGGCCUUCGGGUUGUAAAGCACUUUCAGUAGGGAGGAAAGGGUGAGUCUUAAUACGGCUCAUCUGUGACGUUACCUACAGAAGAAGGACCGGCUAACUCCGUGCCAGCAGCCGCGGUAAUACGGAGGGUCCGAGCGUUAAUCGGAAUUACUGGGCGUAAAGCGUGCGCAGGCGGUUUGUUAAGCGAGAUGUGAAAGCCCUGGGCUCAACCUAGGAAUAGCAUUUCGAACUGGCGAACUAGAGUCUUGUAGAGGGGGGUAGAAUUCCAGGUGUAGCGGUGAAAUGCGUAGAGAUCUGGAGGAAUACCGGUGGCGAAGGCGGCCCCCUGGACAAAGACUGACGCUCAUGCACGAAAGCGUGGGGAGCAAACAGGAUUAGAUACCCUAG
rnacentral:rRNA from 1 species